rnacentral:rRNA from 1 species
AGAACGAACGCUGGCGGCAUGCCUAACACAUGCAAGUCGAACGAGACCUUCGGGUCUAGUGGCGCACGGGUGCGUAACGCGUGGGAACCUGCCCCUUGGUUCGGAAUAACACAGAGAAAUUUGUGCUAAUACCGGAUAAUGACUUCGGUCCAAAGAUUUAUCGCCGAGGGAUGGGCCCGCGUAGGAUUAGCUUGUUGGUGGGGUAAUGGCCUACCAAGGCUUCGACGGGUAGCUGGUCUGAGAGGAUGUCCAGCCACACUGGGACUGAGACACGGCCCAGACUCCUACGGGAGGCAGCAGUAGGGAAUCUUGCGCAAUGGGCGAAAGCCUGACGCAGCGACGCCGCGUGCGGGAUGAAGGCCUUCGGGUUGUAAACCGCUUUCAGCAGGGACGAAAUUGACGGUACCUGCAGAGAACGCCCCGGCAACUCGUGCCAGCAGCCGC